CUCAUUGUCUCCCAUUCGCAUUCACUAUUUUGGCUCACUAUCUGUUCAUUAUUUUAAUUUAUUUUUUAUUUUUUUUGGAACCGCGCAACAUGUAGGUGAAGUGAAUUGGAAAUUGGAUUUUUUUUUAAAAUAUAUAUAUAUAUCGACGUGACACACACAACAAUACGACUCUUUCUGCAAGUGACGAUCAUCAAAAACACAGAAAAACGAUAUCGAGACUGUCAACUUCAUGACGGGAUGUCCGACGAUAGUCUGUUAUGUUGAACAUUCCGAACAACAUCCACAGCAAAACCGCCUCCGGCACCCUCAUCAAGCACAUCGUCGCGUACUCCCUCAAGAAACGC